GUAGGUGGCAAGCGUUGUCCGGAAUUAUUGGGCGUAAAGCGCGCGCAGGCGGUUCUUUAAGUCUGAUGUGAAAGCCCACGGCUCAACCGUGGAGGGUCAUUGGAAACUGGAGAACUUGAGUACAGAAGAGGAAAGCGGAAUUCCACGUGUAGCGGUGAAAUGCGUAGAGAUGUGGAGGAACACCAGUGGCGAAGGCGGCUUUCUGGUCUGUAACUGACGCUGAGGCGCGAAAGCGUGGGGAGCAAACAGGAUUAGAUACCCUGGUAGUCCACGCCGUAAACGAUGAGUGCUAAGUGUUAGGGGGUUUCCGCCCCCCUUAGUGCUGCAGCUAACGCAUUAAGCACCCCCGCCUGGGGAUACGGCCGCAAGGCUG
rnacentral:rRNA from 1 species